CAUAUUACUACAAUUGAUGAAC
rnacentral:siRNA from 1 species